GAAAACUGCGAGCAAUUGUGGUGCCUAAGGAUGGGCCCGUGGCCUAUCAGCUUGUUGGUGAGGUAAUGGCUCACCAAGGCUAAGACGGGUAGCCGGACUGAGAGGUCGAUCGGCCACACUGGAACUGAGACACGGUCCAGACUCCUACGGGAGGCAGCAGUGGGGAAUUUUGCGCAAUGGGCGAAAGCCUGACGCAGCGACGCCGCGUGGGGGAAGAAGGCCUUCGGGUUGUAAACUCCUUUAGUACGGGAAGAAGCCUUCGGGUGACGGUACCGUAAGAAUAAGCCACGGCUAACUCUGUGCCAGCAGCCGCGGUAAUACAGAGGUGGCAAGCGUUGUUCGGAUUUACUGGGCUUAAAGGGCGUGUAGGCGUCCCGAUCAGUCAGAUGUGGAAGCCCUGGGCUUAACCCAGGAAGUGCAUUUGAAACUGUCGGGAUUGGGUCAUGCAAGGGAGGGCGGAAUUCCUGGUGUAGCGGUGAAAUGCGUAGAUAUCAGGAGGAAGGCCGGUGGUGAAGACGGCCCUCUAGGCAAUGACUGACGCUGAGGCGCGAAAGCGUGGGGAGCAAACAGGAUUAGACACCCUGGUAGUCCACGCCCUAAACGGUGCGUACUAGGUGUGGGUGGCGAUAGUCAUCCGUGCCGUAGGGAAACCAUUAAGUACGCCGCCUGGGGAGUACGGCCGCAAGGUUGAAACUCAAAUGAAUUGACGGGGGCCCGCACAAGCGGUGGAGCAUGUGGUUUAAUUCGACACUACGCGCAGAACCUUACCUAGGCUUGACAUGUUAGUGGUAGGAACCCGAAAGGGUGACGACCUACUCUUCGGAGUGGGAGCUUUCACAGGUGCUGCAUGGCUGUCGUCAGCUCGUGCCGUGAGGUGUUGGGUUAAGUCCCGCAACGAGCGCAACCCUCAUCAUCUGUUGCCCUUAACGGGGCUCUCUGAUGAAACUGCCGGCGAAGAGCUGGAGGAAGGUGGGGAUGACGUCAAGUCCGCAUGGCCCUUAUGCCUAGGGCUACACACGUGCUACAAUGGCAGAUACAAAGGGUGGCCAAGCCGCGAGGUGGAGCCAAUCUCAUAAAGUCUGUCCAAGUUGGGAUCGGAGUCUGCAAUUCGACUCCGUGAACCUGGAAUCGCUAGUAAUCGUGGAUCAGAACGCCACGGUGAAUACGUUCCCGGGCCUUGUACACACCGCCCGUCACACCACG
rnacentral:rRNA from 1 species